GUUCAAGGUUAGUUUAACAGUUGAACACCUGGCAACAGCUGAAAGUCUAGUAGGUGUCCCUGGAGAAAAAUCUAGCACGCUUCAAUAUUUUAAUGUCAUACAAAGCCUAUUGAAUAUCAUCUAUGUGGAGGAGCCACUGAGAAGUUUAAUAUUCCAGGUUGGUUUACUGUGGUGAAAAAUGUAGACUUUAUUAACACAACUCUGGUUUGUGACACAUUACCCGUAGGGACAAGAGCAGAAAAAUCUCAAAGUGACAGCCAAGUAGUACCAACUAAGAGAUUAAUGUAUUACAGGGAGACCCUUGAUCAGCCUUAUUCUCUCUGUUAAAAAACAAUAAACUCCUUCUUGAAGAUGAAGAACUUGAGCACUUUAUCCUCACAGCGUGGACAGGAAAAUAAACAGUGACUUGAUUUUAGAGAGGAUUUCACCUAGUGAUAACACAUGUGGUCUAGGUGUAUGUAUGUGUAGCAAGAGCAGAAGCUAGGAAAUAUAAACACUUUUCUGAC